rnacentral:lncRNA from 1 species
GUCCAUCUGGUAUCGUAGGUCUAUAGUUUUUGGCUCCCUGUCCAUCUGGUAUCGUAGGUCUAUAGUGUUUGGCUCCCUGUCCAGCUGGUAUCGUAGGUCUAUAGUGUUUGGCUCCCUGUCCAGCUGGUAUCGUAGGUCUAUAGUGUUUGUCUCCCUGUCCAUCUGGUAUCGUAGGUCUAUAGAGUUUGGCUCCCUGUCCAGCUGGUAUCGUAGGUCUAUAGUGUUUGGCUCCCUGUCCAUCUGGUAUCGUAGGUCUAUAGAGUUUGUCUCCCUGUCCAUCUGGUAUCGUAGGUCUAUAGAGUUUGGCUCCCUGUCCAGCUGGUAUCGUAGGUCUAUAGUGUUUGUCUCCCUGUCCAUCUGGUAUCGUAGGUCUAUAGAGUUUGGCUCCCUGUCCAGCUGGUAUCGUAGAUCUAUAGUGUUUGGCUCCCUGUCCAGCUGGUAUCGUAGGUCUAUAGUUUUUGGCUCCCUGUCCAGCUGGUAUCGUAGGUCUAUAGUGUUUGGCUCCCUGUCCAGCUGGUAUCGUAGGUCUAUAGUUUUUGGCUCCCUGUCCAUCUGGUAUCGUAGGUCUAUAGUUUUUGGCUCCCUGUCCAGCUGGUAUCGUAGGUCUAUAGUUUUUGGCUCCCUGUCCAGCUGGUAUCGUAGGUCUAUAGUGUUUGUCUCCCUGUCCAUCUGGUAUCGUAGGUCUAUAGAGUUUGUCUCCCUGUCCAUCUGGUAUCAUAGGUCUAUAGUGUUUGUCUCCCUGUCCAUCUGGUAUCAUAGGUCUAUAGUUUUUGUCUCCCUGUCCAUCUGGUAUCGUAGGUCUAUAGAGUUUGUCUCCCUGUCCAUCUGGUAUCGUAGGUCUGUAGUGUUUGUCUCCCUGUCCAUCUGGUAUCGUAGGUCUAUAGUGUUUGGCUCCCUGUCCAUCUGGUAUCGUAGGUCUAUAGUGUUUGGCUCCCUGCCCAUCUGGUAUCAUAGGUCUAUAGUUUUUGGCCCUCUGUCCAGCUGGUAUCGUAGGUCUAUAGUGUUUGUCUCCCUGUCCAGCUGGUAUUGUAGGUCUAUAGAGUUUGGCUCCCUGUCCAUCUGGUAUCGUAGGUCUAUAGUGUUUGGCUCCCUGUCCAUCUGGUAUCGUAGGUCUAUAGUUUUUGGCUCCCUGUCCAUCUGGUAUCGUAGGUCUAUAGCUUUGUCUCCCUGUCCAUCUGGUAUCGUAGGUCUAUAGUGUUUGUCUCCCUGUCCAUCUGGUAUCGUAGGUCUAUAGUGUUUGUCUCCCUGUCCAUCUGGUAUCGUAGGUCUAUAGUGUUUGGCUCCCUGUCCAUCUGGUAUCGUAGGUCUAUAGUGUUUGGCUCCCUGUCCAUCUGGUAUCAUAGAUCUAUAGUUUUUGGCUCCCUGUCCAUCUGGUAAUGUAGGUCUAUAGUGUUUGUCUCCCUGUCCAGCUGGUAUUGUAGGUCUAUAGAGUUUGGCUCCCUGUCCAUCUGGUAUCGUAGGUCUAUAGUGUUUGGCUCCCUGUCCAUCUGGUAUCGUAGGUCUAUAGUGUUUGGCUCCCUGUCCAUCUGGUAUCGUAGGUCUAUAGUUUUUGGCUCCCUGUCCAUCUGGUAUCGUAGGUCUAUAGUUUUGGCUCCCUGUGCUACAGGACCAAGACUUUUGCCCUCUUUCCCAACAGGCACCUGAGGUUCUAGACUUUUAGCCGCCUGUGACUCUGGGACCACAGAACCAACACCUUCGGAACCCUGUGGCUGCUGAGCUACUGGACCUUGACCUUUACCCCUCUUCCGAUCUGCCACUGCAGCAGGUCCAUAGCGUUUGGCUCCCUGUGGUUCUGGUGCCGCAGGACCAAGACUUUUGGCCUCUUUCCUAAUGGGUAUCUGAGGUCCUAAGCUUUUAGCCUCCGGUGUAUGGGAUGCCACAGGACCAGAACUUUUGACCCCUUUGCCAUUUGGAGCUGCCGGUCCAAAACCUUUGGCCCCCUGUGGCUGCUGAGCUACAGGACCAGAACUCUUAGCUUCCUUUCCCAGUGGAGCUGCAGGCCCAUAGCUUUCGACUCCCUGUGCUUGAAGAACAACAGAACAAGGGCUUUUGGGCCCUUCACAUCUGGCAAUGCAGCAGGUCCUUGGCUAUCAUGAUUGUGGCAUAAUGUGUCUACAUGCAACAUGCACCUUUAUAGAAACUGGGACAAAGACACACAUAGACAGACAAACACACAGGGUAGCAGAUGUUUACCAUUGGGUUUAGCACCCUGUCCAUUGGGCACUCCAGCUCCUGCACCAUAUCCUGAAGACCACAAUAGUGAUUACUCAACACUGGCGACUAUAGGACGGACUCAUGCAGAUACGAUGCUCUGAUCCACAAACAUAACCAUACACGGACACACCCACUUACAUACUUCACCACUUACACAAUUCCAAUCACACCACAACAAAAUAUAUAUGGCUGCCCAUUUGAAAGAAUUUGGCAGCCGAACAAUAAAGACAACCAUUGAUGGUAAGUAGAUAGACACCUGUUAAUGCACUGAGCAAACAACAUGCAUUUACACCAUGUCUGACUGAAUCAACAAAAGGCAUAAAUACUGAUUACACAGAAGAGAUUGAAAACGGCAACACGAAGAGCAGACAUGAAGGCACAAACUGAAAAACGCAGGUAAAAACAAACCAACAUGAAUGCGGACACGGACGGACACGGACGGACACAGCAGGAUUGGAAAGUUUACCCGGUUUUGGUCCCUUAGAUCCCUGUCCAUUGGGAUACCCAGCUCCAGCACCUAAUGUUUGCAAAGGGGCACUGUCAACUGGAAUUAUCAAACUCCACAUGCAGGGUAUGAGGUACAGAGGCUUUGCAGCAAUCAACCACAUUGCUUGUACAGAUGUAGGAUCUUAAUUUCAGCCAGUUUGCUACAGCAGGAAAAUAAUCCUGCUGCGACAGAAAAUGUGAAUUAUUAUGUGAUUAGAAUUCAUCUUUAAGAGUAAAUUGACGCACCUGUGCAUCAAUCUAAGUAACAUUAUUAAAAAAUCCCCAACAAAACCAGUCAGUUUAAUGGACAUUUAUGUAGGGGUUGAUAUAUUUUUCAUUAGGGCAAAUUAAGUCUGAAAUUUCAAAGUGGAAAAUCUUUUAAAACUCAAAUUUUGCAAAUGAAGAUCCUACAUCUGUAAAGCCAGUUUACAGAUGCUUGGUGUCUAUGUAGGACCCGGCUGGCUAAUGUACACUGUACAGUGUACAGUAUGCAGAUGACAAUUUGGAAGAUGCGUGAUAUGGAAAUCCCCACUGAUUUAUUGAUUGGGAUUGACAGUUUGUUCAAUGAAUUAAGUGCUUGAGGUGUGAGCUGUAAAAAAUAUGAACCCUGGCUUGUAAAAUAGUAGACUAUAGUAUUGGCCUUUAGAUGGUUCAGGCCAGCAGGGAUUGGCUGCUUACCUGGUCGUGGAUAGCCUCUGGCUCCAGUUCCAGGCCCGUAACCU